rnacentral:misc_RNA from 1 species
CCGAGUUUACAACUCCCAAACCCCUGUGAACAUACCACUUGUUGCCUCGGCGGAUCAGCCCGCUCCCGGUAAAACGGGACGGCCCCGCCAGAGGACCCCUAAACUCUGUUUCUAUGUAACUUCUGAGUAAAACCUAUAAAUAAUCAA